rnacentral:rRNA from 1 species
UGAGCAAUCUGCCCUUCUCUUUGGAAUAAGCGUUGGAAACGACGUCUAAUGCCGAAUACGACCUCCUUUCGCAUGAUCGGAGGUGGAAAGCUCCGGCGGAGAAGGAUGAGCUCGCGGCCUAUCAGCUAGUUGGUGAGGUAACGGCCCACCAAGGCGACGACGGGUAGCCGGCCUGAGAGGGUGACCGGCCACACUGGGACUGAGACACGGCCCAGACUCCUACGGGAGCAGCAGG